rnacentral:tRNA from 1 species
GGAAAUACGUCUGACAAAAGAAUUACUUUGAUAGAGUAAACAACAGAGGUUAAAAUCCUCUUAUUUCUA